rnacentral:rRNA from 1 species
GAAUGCCGGUAUGAGUAGCGCAAGAUAAGUGAGAAUCUUAUCCACCGUAAGACUAAGGUUUCCAGGGGAAGGCUCGUCCGCCCUGGGUUAGUCGGGACCUAAGGCGAGGCCGAAAGGCGUAGUCGAUGGACAACUGGUUGAUAUUCCAGUACUAGAUAUGAUCGUGAUGGAGGGACGCAGUAGGCUAAGAGAUGCCAGUUAAUGGAUUCUGGUCUAAGCAGUGAGGUGUGAGAUGUGUCAAAUGCAUUUCUCUUUAACAUUGAGCUGUGAUGGGGAAGCAACUACGGUUGCGAACUCUCUGAUGUCACACUGCCAAGAAAAGCUUCUAGCGUAAAGUCAUAUCUACCCGUCCCGCAAACCGACACAGGUAGUCGAGGCGAGUAGCCUCAGGUGAUCGAGAGAACUCUCGUUAAGGAACUCGGCAAAAU